GUACGGCUGCAGAAGAGCAGAGGCUGGAAUGGUGGCAGGGCCUGGGACGGAGAAGGACUACACCCUGCAGACACGAGCCGAGUGCUGGACCCGCCUCGGACCGCAAAGCUGGGUGGAUUUUCCUGAAAACAGGUGACCCCAGAUGACACUGAUGUUCAUUCAGCCCCUGCUGCUUUCGCUGUGGUUAAACUUGAGGCCCCUGAUUGUACAGUCCAGGGAAGAAACAGCCACACUGUGAUUCUGUGUGCCAACAGCCUAAACUGGCUCAUCAUCAUCUCACUGGGGGUACACCCUGAAGCCACAUACUGGGGUCACUCCAUGAAGAGGCGAUGGCCAUUUUAGAACCUGAAAUAAAUGCUUUUA